AUUGAACGCUGGCGGCAGGCCUAACACAUGCAAGUCGAGCGGAUGAAGGGAGCUUGCUCCUGGAUUCAGCGGCGGACGGGUGAGUAAUGCCUAGGAAUCUGCCUGGUAGUGGGGGAUAACGUCCGGAAACGGGCGCUAAUACCGCAUACGUCCUGAGGGAGAAAGUGGGGGAUCUUCGGACCUCACGCUAUCAGAUGAGCCUAGGUCGGAUUAGCUAGUUGGUGGGGUAAAGGCCUACCAAGGCGACGAUCCGUAACUGGUCUGAGAGGAUGAUCAGUCACUCUAGAAGUCGAACACAUGCCAGACUCCUACGGUAGACAGCAGUGUGGAAUAUUGGACAAUUCUCUCAGAUCGUAUCCAUGCAUGCCAGGUAGGUCAAGAAGAUCUUCAGAUCGGGAGGCACUUAAACCUGGGGAGAAGGGCAGUAAAUUAGUACCUUGCUAUUUUGACAGUACCGGCAAAGUAAGCGCCAGCUAACUACGUG
rnacentral:rRNA from 1 species